AUUGAACGCUGGCGGCAGGCCUAACACAUGCAAGUCGAACGAGUGGCGGACGGGUGAGUAAUGUAUGGGGAACUGCCCGAUCGAGGGGGAUAACUACUGGGAACGGUCGCUAAUACCGCAUUCUAUCGGAUUAACCCAUAUGGGAUUAGCUAGUUGGUGGGGUAACGGCUCACAAAGGCGACGAUACCUCGCUGGUCUGAGAGGAUGAACAGCCACACUGGACCUGGGACACGGCCCAGACGCCUACGGGGGGCAGCAGUGGGGAAUAUUGCAAAAUGGGCAAAAUCCUGAUGCAGACAUGCCGGGUGUAUGAAGAAGGCCUUAGGGUUGUAAAGUACUUUUGUCGGGGAGGCGGUACCCGAAGAAGAAGCAACGGCUAACUCCGUGCCAGCAGCCGCGGUAAUUC
rnacentral:rRNA from 1 species